rnacentral:rRNA from 1 species
CAGUCCAUACCCAACGGGAAAUCCACCCUUUUGAGUUUGGUCUCGUGGGUUUUGAAGAGUUUCAAAGCCUUCGGAUUUCGCGGGAUUGGGAUCUCUUGGUGUACUUUUUCGUACGGUUAGUCAACAUCGGUUUUGAAUGUCAUAAAAUGACUGGAGGAAUGUAGCUUCGAUCUCGUAUUGAAGCGUUAUAGCAUUUGGUAGAUGUGAUGUUUGAGACCGAGGAUUGCAACGGAUACUCCUUUAGGGCUAUUCGUCUGAUCUACUGAUACGUUGCCUUGAUGUUGAAAGCUUGCUUAUGAUGUUAGGGUAUUACGGUCAAAAGGUUAGAACGGAUUAGA